rnacentral:rRNA from 1 species
CUCGGCAACGGAUAUCUCGGCUCUCGCAUCGAUGAAGAACGUAGCGAAAUGCGAUACUUGGUGUGAAUUGCAGAAUCCCGUGAACCAUCGAGUCUUUGAACGCAAGUUGCGCCCGAAGCCAUUAGGCUGAAGGCACGUCUGCCUGGGCGUCACGC